GCCACCAGGGAAGUCCUCUAUUUUUGAAUGCCAGAUAAUCUUUCUGACAAGCACAUGUAAAAAUAAUACUUGGCUAGUGUUUCUUAGGCACUGACAAUGUGCUGGGCAACACUUGACAUGUAUUAUCUCUUUGGAUGCUCACCACAGCCCUGUGAGGUAGGUACUUUUAUUAUCCCAUCUGAUGGGAGAGAAUAUUGAGGCUAAGAAUGGUUAACUAAUCAGCCCACGGUCACACAGUUCAUAAGUGGCCAAGGUGGCAAUCAAACUGAGGUCUUAUUCCAAAACUUUGGUUUGACCUGCCUAUUAUAAUUGUUAUUAUUGUUAAGUGUCAAAAGGAAUAAUAAAUGUGUACAUGCUUUAAAAAUGGUGAGUGUGCUUUAAAAUGAAAAGCAUUAUUGUUACAUCAAGAUCAUUGUUAAAGAAUAAGGCAGCAAGACUUAUUGCCAGCCCAGUGCAGAGGGAGAUGUGUCAAUUAUGGAAAAAGUCUAUUGUUCAAGGAAUGCCUCUGAGACUUUAUCUUAAAUCUGUUCCCUUGUAUUGAAUAGAUUUAACUCAGCCCACUCUUUCCUCCCCCCCCCCUUUUUUUUGAGGAUGGAUUUUAUUGAGAGGGUUUCUUAGCCCAUUUCUUAAUAUGUACCUGAAGAGGAAUCCACUCUGAAACCUGUCCUCACUUCUCUUUCUGUUUUCUGUUUUGCUUCCUAGCAGAAGUGGAAAGAACAAGGUCUUAGGACCGGAUAGACCUGAGUCUAAAUUUCAGCAUUGUGAUUAACUCAGUGUAAGACUUUGGACACGUUACUUAGCCCAGCUUGUUGCAGAGCCUGUCCAACUGCACUGAAAUCUCUUGGAGGAGAGGGGAAUUGCUCAGCCAACAUACAGGAGAGGGUACUGAAGAGUCUGAAAUUUCAGGGCCUCAUUGGUGAGAGGGCAGUAGCGGCACCUACCUUGGAGGUGGUUUUGAGAAGUAAUAUCUAGUAGGAUAUCAGAAAUGUUCCCUUCUUCUCAUCUUUUUUCCAAAGAAGUCUUAUUCAUUUGCCCUUCUUCUCUGCUCCUGUCCUCUCCAUGGUUCUGUUCCGUCUGCUCCAUUCCUUUCCUCUCCCCUCCUGUCCAUCUGUCCAUCUUCUCUCUCUCCUCUUGUCCCCCAUUUCCUGUGCCUCCCCUCCCUUUCUUUAUGUCUUUCCCCAUCCCCUCUCACCCCCUUUCCUUCUAUCACCUCCUGAAAUUCCCCUCCCUUCCCAUGUUUUUUGUAGGUCCCCUCCUGUCCUUCCCCUCCCCUUUUUUCUCUCACAAGGAGCCUGAGACCAGAUGACUCCUAAACAGAAAGGCCUGGUUCUCAACCUUACUAAUUUAGAGAAACUGUGGAAUUUCAAUUAGUAGCAAGUCCUGUGGGCUCCUUCUAUUCCCACCCUCACUUUAUCAGUGAGGGAACUGAGAGCAGAGGUUAAAGCCAGAUCCUGAUUCCUGGGUCAGUGCUCCACCUGCCACAUCAGCAGGUUGCCUCUGUGACUGAACUUGUAACACCAUGUUUCACAGUUACCAGGAAACUGGGCGGAAUGAGGUGAUAAACUAUUCUGUUGUUUGUUUGUGAAGAGUAAGGCCUUCUAGCCCCUGGGACCACUUCUAACGUUUGAGACACCUAGUGACAAAGAAGUCAAACUUCACCAUCAAAUAUACAGUGUCCUCCUUAACUGGUCAGGAGAACACGACAAACCCAAAUUGCAAAGAAGCUCAUCUGUGGUCAUUUCCACAGGGCACUAGAACUUUUACACUCAGUGUCACCAAGAAAAGAACAGAACAGUGUCCUACAGAAGAUAAGGCUGGAGAGGAAAAGAGUUAAUCAUUUAGGUGAAGGCAGCCAGAGGCCAAGCCACCCCAUGAAGCAUGUGGCCUCCUGCAAGUGCCAUAGUAGAAAAAUGAAAAUGUACCAUGUGUUUCCUUUGUGUGUGUUAGCUCAGGAUGGUGUGCUUCCUGCCCUGCCCUCAUUUUCUCCUCAUGCUGGUUUUCACUGGUCCUGCUCUCUUGGCUCUUGAUAUAUAAAGAAGGAAGUGGGGGUGGAGGGGAAGCUAAGCUGACGCUCACCUGAGGGAGAAGGGGCUCAAGUUAGCUUAUGCACCCCACAGAGCAAGCUAACUUCCUAUGGCAGACUCUUUAGUUUCCCUUGAAUCCAUGUUGAAUUCCCCUGUAGUCUGUCUGAGGCUUUAAUGGAUGGUGUUUACUUAUGUUCAGUCAGCUGCACUCCGGGGAGGGCCAGCACAUCAAAUAGAUGUUGCCCCUGAUCACCAAGGCCUGGCGAGAACAGCAGGGGUUUGGGAGGCUACUCCAAGGGCAAAGUGAGGAGGAACAGGCAAGUCUAUAGACACAGGAGGACUUUUCACAUGCCCAACAUCCAGCCAUAUCUCCCAUCACUCAAAGGCAGCAAAAUCUAACGAGGCAGAGAAGGAAUCCUUUGCUGGCCUGUUAUUUGCUACCCCACUCUAGAGAUAACACAGCUCGUCUGCUCUGACAAGAUUGGGCCAAUGUAAGUGACUGGCAGUUUCCUUGUAACAGCGAUGGAUUCAUGGUUGUUGUAGCAACAGAGACCCCCUGACCUCAAAGGCAGGCAGAAGCUGAGCCUGAGGUCACCAGAGAUGGGAAAAGUUGAGGGUGGAUUUGUAAGCAUCAGGAAUCAGUGGGCUUUAUUUUCUGGCAAGGCCUAUUCCUGGAACAGCUGAAAAUCCUGAGGGCUAAAUUCAGACUCCAGGAUGAGAGACUCAAAGAUUGCCUGAUGAGAGGGCAAAGGGAGAACAUUACUUUGUUCUUGUUCAUAUAGGUCCUCUGGGCAUAUUAACAUGUGAGGAUGUUAGCUUUCUUGUUUCUAGAAUAGGAAUAGUAAUAUCUGAUUCCUCAUCUCUCAUAGGAGUACUUAGGUGUUUAAUGAAGUGAUGUUCAGAAUCUCUCUACAGAAAAAUGCAAUGGAGACACUUUCAAUAACUAAAUGUAUAUGAGCCUCAUAUGUACUCUGAAAAACUGAAAGAUAACACAGACUCAUUUAAGAUUAAUUUCUCCAUGAGUUUCAGAUCUGUGUUGUGCACUGAAAUUUCCAUGAUAAUACACUUACAAAUCUACAUAUACAUAUAUAAUAUAAAUAAAUGUACUCAUAACGUGGAUACUCUGAGAUGCGGAAUCAUGUGCUUGUUGCUGUUCUUAACUCCUUAGAUUUGUCUUUUCAGAAAAUAUCAAGUGAUCACUUUGACAAUAUUCUAACACUAUCAUAAUGAAGUUGUCACUUGCUUUAUAAGUCAAAGGGAUCGCUCAAAGCUUAAAGCAGCUGGUAAAGAAAUGAGGUAACAAGAAAAGCUCCUCUAAGGAUUUCGGCUCUUUUAGGCUAAAAUAACUCCACUCUGCAGAACUGUUUUAAUCAAAAGCAGUAGAAGAUUUUAAACAAGAGUGAUAAAUGAUGGUGAUAAUGAUUGUUAGUAAAUUUCCCUGGUUAAAAAGAAUAAGCUUUAGCUAUCUGAGAGAGAUCCCCUGGAAUGGAAUGUUCAGUUCUCUAACUGUAAGCUUUACUCUAAUUCUUAAGAAUUUGGCAUUCGGAGACCUGUGCUCUGGUUUAAGUCUUGCCACAGAUUUGGUAGGUGACCUUGAGAAAGUCACCUAAUCUUUGUGGAUCUCUGUUUUCUCAUCUGUCAAGUGAAGAGAAUGGAGUGAUUAAUCUCUGUAGCCCUUUCAGCUAUAAGGCAUUGUGAUGACUUUCAAUCAUCUCCAGAAAAUUUAGGGCUUAUAUUUGGAAGACUGCUAAGCAGUGGCCUGAAAUGAGAGCCAAACAUUAGGUGAGACUCACCAGGGUUACAGUAAGAGCUCACACUGAUAGGGUUGGGUGAUUACAAUGUGCCAGACCUUGUGCCUCAUGCUUUGCAUUUACUGCCCCUUUAAUCCUCUCAGAAUAACCUCAGGAAUACCAGAGCAUUCAUCUCCAACAAGGAAUUACAGCAACUUGUGGGAACUUCCAGCUACCAGCCAACUAGUCCUUACUUACAUAAGGACAGAUCCGAAUCCUCCCAGUGUUACUUUGGAAGCAUCUGGGGAGAGGUGGUUGCUGGGGUUGCUUUUCAUGCUUUGAUCCACCUUGGGCAUGUGGGAGUUUACCUAGCGCUGGAACAUCACUCUCUGCAGAUCAACGUUUAGUCUUCACCUCACUAGACUUUUUGGUAGCAUUUGACACGGUUAAUUGCAACAGUCCUUGAAAUAGUGUCUUCCUCUGGCUUCCAGGACCCUGAACCCACCAGUUCUCUUCCCACCUCUCUGGCCACUCCUUAGUGACCUUGGCUGGAUCCUCCUGGUUGUCUCAGGCCCCAUGUGACAGCCACUUCUCUUCUCCACCUGCACUCACUCCCUAGGUCAUCCCAUCUGGGCUCUUGGCUUUAAAUACUACCUAUACCUGAUGAUUUUGAAAUUAAACCUCCAGUCCCAAUUUCUGCCCAGGACACCAAAGAAAUAUAUUUGACUGCCAGCUCAACAUCCUCAAUGGAACUCCUAAUCUCACACUUAAGAGAACUGAGCUUCUGAUUUUCUCGUCCAUACCUGCCCCUCCCUCAGUGUUCCAGAGUGCAGUACAAAGGACUAUAGAUUCACCUGGCCAAGAACCCAGGAGUCACACUGGAUUCCUCCUUUUCUCUUGCUUGCCACAUUUAGUCCAUCAGCAAAUUCUGGCAGCUCUAUCCUGAAAAAUCAGGAAUCUGACAGCUGUUCACUAGCUCCAUCACCUCCACCUCAGUCCAAACCCCUGGCUCCUCUCACCUAGACUAUUGCAAUAAGUCUCAGCUUUCAUUUUUGCCUCCAGCAUCCCCUACCCCCAGUCUAGUCUCCAAACAGCACCCAUGCAUGGUUCCUUUUAAAAUGUAAGUCUUUGCAAACCUGACUACUUUUCCCAUACUGGGAGCACAAUCCCAAAUUCCUACCUUGGCCUGUGAAAGCUAUGGGAUCUGGCUUCUAGGUUUCUCUCCAGUCACAUCUCUUACCACUUUCUCCCUCACUUACUUGAACACAUCCAGUUCACUCAGAUUUUGGGACUGCUUUCCGCUCUCUCUCUCUCUCUCUCUCUCUCUCUGGAAGACCGUUUGCUUAGAUAUUUGCACACCUAUUUUCUCCUUUCAUCCAGGUCCCUUUCAAAUGUCACCUCUUCAGAGAAGCAUUCUUGGACCUGCUAUAUGAGAGAGAGACUUGCCUCUUCUGCCAGACGUGCUCUAUACCCUUGUCCUUCUUUUCCUUUCUUUGUGACAGUCAACCUUCCUCUCUGGUUAGGGACUUGAUGUCUGUUGUCUUUAAUACUGCAUCCUAGCACUUACCACAGUGCUUGGUGCAUAAGGGGUAUUCAAUAAACAUUUGUGAAAUGAAUGAAUAUAAUUACAAAGGCAGGUUUUAGGAUGUGAAUAGAUAAUUCAGUCAAGAACAAUAACAGUAAGAAGACACGUAGGCAGUAAUCGCAGGUAUAAUUUGCUCUUCCUUCCAUAGUCUAAAGAUCUGGUUUGUCUUCUGCCUUGUCUCAGAAGCAGCUGUCCCUAAGCCCUUGUUUCUAGCUUCCUGACUGCUGAUCUGGACACUGGUCUGUGUGGACUCCCCAAGCCUUGGCUGUAUAUCCCAUCUGUGUAUUCUUAGGUUCUCCAUGUUCUGAUGACCUGUUUGGACUCUUUUCUUUCCCUUACACAUCUAUGACAGUGCUGUCAAAGUUUAACUCAUUGAAAGUGAAAUAAUAUAUUGUAAUUGCUUAAAUACAUAUAAAGUAACUCUCUCUCUAUAUAUAUAGUGUAAUUAGAAAAAACAAGGCAGAAAAUAAAAAUCAGACAAAAUUUCUCUCACAUACUUUUCAGAAAGAUUCAAAAGAUUUUUAGCAUUUUGGUUUAACUUAGCUCUGGGUAAGAAACUGUCUUGCUCCAAAGGUAGUCAAAUAAGAUCUCGCUAGCUUAGUUCUCUGGUCUCCCUGUCAGAAAAAAUGAAAAUAAUGGAAAUAAAAUAUAGUGUUAACAUUUUAUAGUUGGUGAAUCAGUGAUCAAACAAGCAUCUAAAUAAUGAUAGCACCAUGUUAGGCUGUGAUAAAAUUUGCACAUGUGUAUAUAUAUAAUUAGUAGUAGUUUAAAUUUGAACAGUCAUUCAGAUUGAGAUUAUGACAUUUUAAAAGCUAUAAAAAUACUCAUAGUUUUUGAGGCACAGUUGAUAUAUAACAUUAGUUUCUCAUAUACAACAUAAUAAUUCCAUAUUUGUGUCUAUUACAGAAUGAUCACCACAUUAAGUCUACUUAAAUCUGUUACCAUAGUUAGUUAAAAUUUUUUCUUCAUGUGAUGGAGUGUUUAAGAUUCACUCUCUUAGCAACUUUCAAAUUUACUACUAUUUUAAACUAUAAUCACCAUGCUAUACCUUACUCCCUAUGACUUUGUAGUUUUUUCUACACUUAACCUCCUUGCACAGAAAAUGUAUGCACAGAAAGAUGCUAUUGCACUAUAAUCUAUAUUAGCCACAAAAUGAAAAGUCAACUGAGUUCAAUAAUAGGGACAUGGUUAAGUAAAUUGUGAUGUAUAUUAGAUCUUAUAAAAAUUUAUUUUUACAUUAAAAAUUAUAAUUAUGAAAAAUAUAUAGAAAAAAUGAAAAUAAUUAUGAUGUGAUAAUAAAUGAAAAAGUACAAAAUGAGUUUGUAAAAAGGUAAAAAUGUUUAUAACUAGACUAUGGGCAGUGAAUAUAAAAUAAUACACAAAAAGGAAAUCUUUGUAACUAGGAUAGAAUUAUGGGUGAUUUUUCUUCUAUUUUUUCAAAGUACUAUUUGAAUAUAUUUACUACCAUUAUAGUUUUCAUUUUUUUGUUUUGUUAGGACACAGAGAGCAAAUAAAAUAUGAAUUGGUGAUCUUUAAAGGCUUAUACUCUAUGGCACAUGUUUGUGGCCUCCCCAGCAGCUGUUUCCAGUGCCCUUCCUCUUUGCCCGUCUCCUAUGCACAAGGUUGAAAAUGCCAUGUUGGAUUUUCCAGCCCCCUUUGCAGCCAGCGUGUGCCAGGUGACCCAUUCCUGGCCAGUGAAAUCCAAGAGGAAUCCUGCUAGGCUGCUCUUGUGAAAAGUUUCCUCCUUGAUAAAGAAGUGAGACCCAUAAACAAAAUCCUUUUUGCUUUGUCUUUUUGUUUAUGCGGACUGAUUCUGGAAGCUGUGGCAGCCAUUUUGAAACAUCACCAACUGUUUGAGGAGGGUGGUGCCGGAUGAUAGAAAGAUCCUUGAUACACGAUGUUGUCUUACAGCAUCACCGAGUCACUGGAUAAACUCCAGGACAGACUGCCUUAAGACUUCUUGAUAACAAUAAAUGUCCUUGUGGUUUGAAUCAC